GGUGAGGUGGAGCCCUGCACGCUCUGAGC
rnacentral:piRNA from 1 species